rnacentral:rRNA from 1 species
GAUGAACGCUGGCGGCGUGCAUAAUAGAUGCAAGUCGAGCGAAUGGAUUCAGAGCUUGAUCUUAUGAAGUUAGCGGCGGACGGGUGAGUAAUACGUGGGUAACCUGCCCAUAAGACUAGGAUAACUACGGGUAAACGGGGCUCAUGCUGGAAAAACUUUUGAAACGCACGGAUCAGAAGUGAAAUGCGGUAUCGCGUAUCAUUUCUGAGGAGACCCGGGUCGCAUUAGCUAGUUGGUGAGGUAACGGCUCACCAAGGCAACGAUGCGUAGCCGACCUGAGAGGGUGAUCGGCCACACUGGGACUGAGACACGGCCCAGACUCCUACGGGAGGCAGCAGUAGGGAAUCUUCCGCAAUGGACGAAAGUCUGACGGAGCAACGCCGCGUGAGUGAUGAAGGCUUUCGGGUCGUAAAACUCUGUUGUUAGGGAAGAACAAGUGCUAGUUGAAUAAGCUGGCACCUUGACGGUACCUAACCAGAAAGCCACGGCUAACUACGUGCCAGCCGCCGCCGUAA